UCAGAAUCCCUUUAAGAAAAUAUUCCAAUGGAGAAGUAUUUUAAAUACACCAUGGUGUUAUGGAUACAGCUGGUGCUAGGCAACGUGAAGCAUGUAAGCAGUGAAGAUCUAUUUCACAGCUUCUUUCCUUAACAGGAGAAGGGAUGACAUUUUGUCGGUCUCGCCUCCCUGGAGAUUAAAAACCAAGCACCAGAGGAAGGCCAGGCAGCUGACAAAUAGGCUCUUCCCCUGCUGAGGAAAGGAAAACACAAGGCCCAUGGAAAGCUUUCCUCUUCACAAGCUGGAUGUAAAAGAUCCUGCAGAAGGCUCUGAGAUCUUAGAGUUGAUGGAAAGGAGCAGAAGGCCACCUGCUAAACACCCUCUUAGAACUAUUAUGGUUUCAAAUGAACAUCAUGACCAACCUGUAGAUGGAGAAGGAAGCCACUGAUCGAAUCAGGGAUGCCACAGCCCCCACUUUGGCAGCUUCCACUGACCCCUGGACUCGGUACUGCACUGUCUUCGAGUAGUUGACAU